rnacentral:misc_RNA from 1 species
AACAAGGCGUACCUGCGGACCUGCGGAGGGAUCAUUACAAGUGACCCCGGUCUAACCACCGGGAUGUUCAUAACCCUUUGUUGUCCGACUCUGUUGCCUCCGGGGCGACCCUGCCUUCGGGCGGGGGCUCCGGGUGGACACUUCAAACUCUUGCGUAACUUUGCAGUCUGAGUAAACUUAAUUAAUAAAUUAAAACUUUCAACAACGGAUCU